UACGUAGGGUGCAAGCGUUGUCCGGAAUUAUUGGGCGUAACGAGCUCGUAGGCGGUCUGUCGCGUCGGCUGUGAAAACUCGGGGCUCAACUCCGAGCUUGCAGUCGAUACGGGCAGGCUAGAGUUCGGCAGGGGAGACUGGAAUUCCUGGUGUAGCGGUGAAAUGCGCAGAUAUCAGGAGGAACACCGGUGGCGAAGGCGGGUCUCUGGGCCGAUACUGACGCUGAGGAGCGAAAGCGUGGGGAGCGAACAGG
rnacentral:rRNA from 1 species